rnacentral:snRNA from 1 species
GUUGGCUAAGUCCGUUCGGCG